rnacentral:lncRNA from 1 species
GAUAAGAGAAUCCUAAGAAUAAAUGGCAAGUAUUUGAAAAAAUAUAAGCCUAUAUUGCAGGAAGUAAAAGUAGUAACAGAAUAAGUGCAAACAUAAUUGUGAUAAGAUGGGCCAAAUAAAAAUGGCAUUCAAAAGUUAUUACAAAGAAAGCCUCAAAGGGCUGAGAGUUGCUAAAUAAAUUCGACUACAAAUUAAAAUUGGCAAAAGUAUCCCUCAAAG